rnacentral:rRNA from 1 species
UCUUUAAUGGAGAGUUUGAUCCUGGCUCAGGACGAACGCUGGCGGCGUGCCUAAUACAUGCAAGUCGAGCGGGGUUA